rnacentral:rRNA from 1 species
UACGUAGGGGGCAAGCGUUGUCCGGAUUCAUUGGGCGUAAAGAGCGUGUAGGCGGCUAGGUAGGUCGGUUGUGAAAACUGGAGGCUCAACCUUCAGAGGUCGACCGAAACCAUCUGGCUAGAGUCCGGGAGAGGAGAGUGGAAUUCCUGGUGUAGCGGUGAAAUGCGCAGAUAUCAGGAAGAACACCCGUGGCGAAAGCGGCUCUCUGGAACGGUACUGACGCUGAGACGCGAAAGCGUGGGGAGCAAACAGG